rnacentral:miRNA from 1 species
GUGUGUGUGUGUGUGUGUGUGUAUAUGUGUGUGUGUGUGUACACACACACACACACACACACACACAACCUU